rnacentral:rRNA from 1 species
CACGUAGGAGGCGAGCGUUGUCCGGAAUCAUUGGGCGUAAAGAGCGCGCAGGCGGCUUGGCAAGUCGGGUGUGAAAUCCCGGGGCUCAACCCCGUGACUGCAUCCGAUACUGUCAGGCUAGAGGUAGGUAGGGGAGAUCGGAAUUCCUGGUGUAGCGGUGAAAUGCGCAGAUAUCAGGAGGAACACCGGUGGUGUAGACGGCUUUCUGGACCGUAACUGACGCUGAGACACGAAAGCGUGGGUAGCAAACAGG